GGGAUUGCCCCAGUAACGGCGAGUGAAGCGGCAACAGCUCAAAUUUGAAAUCUGGGGUCCUUUGGGCCUCCGAGUUGUAGUUUGCAGAGGGAGCCUCGGAGGGCGUGCCGGCCCAAGUGCCUUGGAACAGGAUACCGCAGAGGGUGAGAGUCCCGUAUCCGGCCGGUGGCGCGCUCCGUGUGAGGCCUCUUCGACGAGUCGAGUUGUUUGGGAAUGCAGCUCCAAGCGGGUGGUAAAUUCCAUCUAAAGCUAAAUACUGGCCAGAGACCGAUAGCGAACAAGUAGAGUGAUCGAAAGAUGAAAAGCACUUUGAAAAGAGAGUCAAACAGUACGUGAAAUUGUUGAAAGGGAAGCGCAUGGGGGCAGACUUGGCCGCGGGGUUCAGGGUGCGUUCUCGCGCCUGCACUUCCCCGCGGACAGGCCAGCAUCGGUUCUGGGGGCCGGACAAAGGGGCCGGGAAGGUAGCCGCCUUCGGGCGGUGUUAUAGCCCGGCGCGCAAUGCGGCCACCUGGGACCGAGGACCGCGCUUCGGCAAGGAUGCUGGCGUAAUGGCCUCAUGCGGCCCGUCUUGAAACACGGACCAAGGAGUCUAACAUCUAUGCGAGUGUUUGGGUGGCAAGCCCGGGCGCGCAAUGAAAGUGAACGGAGGUGGGAGCUGUCGUAGGCGCACCAUCGACCGAUCCGGACGUUUUCCGAAGGAUUUGAGUAGGAGCAUAGCUGUUGGGACCCGAAAGAUGGUGAACUAUGCGUGAAUAGGGUGAAGCCAGAGGAAACUCUGGUGGAGGCUCGCAGCGG
rnacentral:rRNA from 2 species